rnacentral:rRNA from 1 species
UUCCAGACUCCUACGGGAGGCAGCAGUGGGGAAUAUUGCACAAUGGGGGAAACCCUGAUGCAGCGACGCCGCGUGAGCGAUGAAGUAUUUCGGUAUGUAAAGCUCUAUCAGCAGGGAAGAAAAUGACGGUACCUGACUAAGAAGCCCCGGCUAACUACGUGCCAGCAGCCGCGGUAAUACGUAGGGGGCAAGCGUUAUCCGGAUUUACUGGGUGUAAAGGGAGCGUAGACGGCUGUGCAAGCCAGAUGUGAAAGCCCGGGGCUCAACCCCGGGACUGCAUUUGGAACUGUGUGGCUGGAGUGUCGGAGAGGCAGGCGGAAUUCCUAGUGUAGCGGUGAAAUGCGUAGAUAUUAGGAGGAACACCAGUGGCGGAGGCGGCCUGCUGGACGAUGACUGACGUUGAGGCUCGAAAGCGUGGGGAGCAAACAGGAUUAGAUACCCCAGUA